UCCGAUUGGCCAACCGCGACGUACAAAUUUGGACCGCCCUAAUGUUCAUAUGCAAAAAAAUGAUGUAAGCCUUUUAAAAAUUGGCGUAUAAUUUAUUAUAAUUGUUCCGAUUGGCCAACCGCGACGUACAAAUUUGGACCGCCCUAAUGUUCAUAUGCAAAAAAAUGAUGUAAGCCUUUUAAAAAUUGGCGUAUAAUUUAUUAUAAUUGUUCCGAUUGGCCAACCGCGACGUACAAAUUUGGACCGCCCUAAUGUUCAUAUGCAAAAAAAUGAUGUAAGCCUUUUAAAAAUUGGCGUAUAAUUUAUUAUAAUUGUUCCGAUUGGCCAACCGCGACGUACAAAUUUGGACCGCCCUAAUGUUCAUAUGCAAAAAAAUGAUGUAAGCCUUUUAAAAAUUGGCGUAUAAUUUAUUAUAAUUGUUCCGAUUGGCCAACCGCGACGUACAAAUUUGGACCGCCCUAAUGUUCAUAUGCAAAAAAAUGAUGUAAGCCUUUUAAAAAUUGGGUAAGUCUUCUUCACAUUCUUAGAAUAUGUAUUU